AUAGUUAUUGGGUGUCUCUGUCCGAGACUAUGUCGAAAAUUAAUCAAAGAAUAAACAUGUAGAAAGCUUAGUAAUUCGUCAUUUGGACGAGGGUUCGAAACCCUCCGACUCCACCU
rnacentral:tmRNA from 1 species